rnacentral:rRNA from 1 species
UACAGAGGGUGCAAGCGUUGUUCGGAAUUAUUGGGCGUAAAGCGCGUGUAGGCGGCUUUGCAAGUCGGGUGUGAAAGCCCUGGGCUCAACCUAGGAAGUGCAUUCGAAACUCCCGAGCUUGAGUUCUGGAGAGGAAGGCGGAAUUCUCGGUGUAGAGGUGAAAUUCGUAGAUAUCGAGAGGAACACCGGUGGCGAAGGCGGCCUUCUGGACAGCAACUGACGCUGAGACGCGAAAGCGUGGGGAGCAACAGGAU